GUGUGGCCAAGCAACAUCAGAGUGGAUAUUCUUUUUGGGUGCCUUGCUCUGUGGUCCCAAGAUGGUAAUGGUGGAAGAACUGAAUCAAUACUGCCCAUCUUGGCUCCUCUCUCCAACACAACAUCAUCAUACUGUUUGCAAUUAGACAAGGGGAAUUACCAUCGCAUGUGAAAUUGGCUGGUUUUGCCUGUCGCAACACAGGGAAUUGAAAAUAAAGUUGAUUGCCAAUUGAGUUCUGAAUUGUUGGGAAA
rnacentral:lncRNA from 11 species